rnacentral:rRNA from 1 species
GACGAACGCUGGCGGCGUGCUUAACACAUGCAAGUCGAACGGACAGACCAUGCUCUUGUUGGGUGGUCGAGUGGCGAACGGGGGAGUAACACGUGAGUAACAUGCCCUUGACUGUGGGAUAACUUCACGAAACUGGGGCUAAUACACGAGAGGAGCUACUGAUGCAUGGUGGGGGAUGGAAAGUGUCGGCGGUUGGGGAUGGAAUCGAGGGUUAUCAGCCUGAUGGUGGGGUAGGGGCUUACCAAGGCUAUGACGGGUAGCCGGCCUGAGAGGGUGGCCGGCCACAUUAGGACUGAGAUACGGCCCAGACUCCUAUGGGAGGCAGCAGUGGGGAAUAUUGCACAAUGAGCGGAAGCCUGAUGUAGCAACGCCGCGUGCGGGAUGACCGCCUUCGGGUUGUAAACCGCUUUCGACUGUGACGAAGCGUUAGUGACGGUAAUGGGUAAAGAAGCACCGGCUAACUACGUG